rnacentral:misc_RNA from 1 species
GGCUCUUUUAAGCCAAAACAUACACCCGGUCGAUAUUUUACUGCUGAUGGCUUCCUCUGAAGGCGACUUGCCAAAAAUCGAAGAGCUACUGAGAGCUGGAGCAGAUUACACAGUCAAAGAUGCAGACGGACGUACUGCCCUUGACAGGGCUGCUAACGAUGAAGUCAAAGACUUCAUCGUUAACUAUAAAGCCCAGAAGGCAUAAACGUAUCAAGUUUUGUUAUUAACCAUUAGUGUAAGUUUCAUCUUCUCAUUACCGUCAUAUUUUUUUAGAUCAACGCCAUUUUACCAUAUGUGAGCUCUAUUAUGUAUCUGUUUUGAGAGCUUGUAUGUUACGGGCGGACAUUUUACCAGAGGUUUCUAAUCUAUCCUCGUGUGAUCUAUAACGUUC